rnacentral:lncRNA from 1 species
AUAAUUUCAUUUUUGUAGCUAAAUUUGUAGCUAACUUUAGCAAUCUCUAGCUAGAUAAAUUCUGUUAGUCUCUGUAACUAGAUAGCAAUGUCUUAAGUAGGGAUAAAUUGUCUCUAUAAUUAUUAUACUUAUCAAUAGAUAACCACAAAAAUACGUAACUAAAUAACAAUAACAUAUGUAUCAUAACCAAUCCCUAAAACUUAAAACUUAAACUCCAAAUCCCUAAUUUUAUAUACUUUAACCUAAACUUACAAAUUUUGUGUGUAUUAUCAUCAACCCCUAAAACCUAAUCAAUGAAAACUUAAACUUCAAACCCAAACUCCAUAUACUUUAAACUUAACCUACAAAUGUAUGUAUAUGAGCGCCAAUCCCUAAACCUUAAAACCCAAACCCCAAAUUCUACACACUCGACCUAAAACCUACAAGCAUACACCCU